rnacentral:rRNA from 1 species
AACGAACGCUGGCGGCAGGCCUAACACAUGCAAGUCGAGCGCACCUUCGGGUGAGCGGCGGACGGGUGAGUAACGCGUGGGAACGUGCCCUUCUCUGCGGAAUAGCCACUGGAAACGGUGAGUAAUACCGCAUACGCCCUUCGGGGGAAAGAUUUAUCGGAGAAGGAUCGGCCCGCGUUAGAUUAGGUAGUUGGUGGGGUAAUGGCCUACCAAGCCUACGAUCUAUAGCUGGUUUGAGAGGAUGAUCAGCCACACUGGGACUGAGACACGGCCCAGACUCCUACGGGAGGCAGCAGUGGGGAAUCUUAGACAAUGGGCGCAAGCCUGAUCUAGCCAUGCCGCGUGAGUGAUGAAGGCCUUAGGGUCGUAAACUGCUUUUAUGAGUGAAGAAUAUGACGGUAACUCAUGAAUAAGCACCGGCUAACUACGUGCCAGCAGCCGCGGUCAUACGUAGGGUGCAAGCAUUAUCCGGAGUGACUGGGCGUAAAGAGUUGCGUAGGCGGUUAGUAAAGCGAAUAGUGAAACCUGGUGGCUCAACCAUACAGACUAUUAUUCGAACUCACUAACUCGAGAGUGGUAGAGGUAACUGGAAUUUCUUGUGUAGGAGUGAAAUCCGUAGAUAUAAGAAGGAACACCAAUGGCGUAGGCAGGUUACUGGACCAUUUCUGACGCUAAGGCACGAAAGCGUGGGGAGCGAACGGGAUUAGAUACCCCGGUAGUCCACGCCGU